rfam:Trametes versicolor FP-101664 SS1 unplaced genomic scaffold TRAVEscaffold_2, whole genome shotgun sequence.
GGCGCUAUAGCCAAGUGGUUACGGCGAGUGAUUAGAAUGUCCUCAUCGCUAGAUAAGUUUAAACUAUCACUUCCUCUAUGAGGGCGCAGGUUCGAGUCCUGCUGGCGUCG